AAAAAAUUUUAGGAAGUAGCUAAUUUAAGCUUGAAAGAUAACAAAAAUAACAAGAGCUUUUUUGGUUUUUGGUUUUUUAAUACAGGAAAAAACCUGAAAACAAUAAAAAUUAUUUAUCAUCCAGGGACAGGUCAUCCUGGGUCCUGCUGCCUACUUGGACACCUGUUAAGACUUCAGAGAGAAGGGAGAUUGGAGACAAAAAGAAAACUUCUAAGAGUUCAUUUGAAGUCCACUAAGGGCAUCCUUUGCAACAGCUUUCCUAGUGGGCAGGAACUGCUUGGGAUCCCAGAGAAGAGGGCCCAAGCCACAGGAAGGAGGGAAAACCACGGAAGUGCCACAGGCAGGCAAUGAAGACUCCAGAUCCAAUAUAAUUACUUGUAUUUUCCCGAUCCGACUGGAUGGCUCUCUGCUUUUAAAUGGAGUGAGACCUGAAGAAUCCUGUGUGAAAUUAAAUUUAGUUAAAAAUCCAUUGAGGGAACAGGAAACAAACUGUGUCUUGGAUUACAUUCAUAUCUGUUUCUCAAGUGUGGAAAAAGUGGGGAUAAAAGGAUAGAGUGAAAGGGAGGGUGCUGGCUGCUACUGCCUCUUUAACUAAGAACUCUGAGCAACCCUCGUUCUACACCCGGAACUGUCUAAGCAGGAUGAGCUUGUGGCUGAAAAGCAGCUCUUCAUCCUGGAAGACGCCUGUGCUCUUGGGGCGGCCAUCAGUUUUGAGACCCUUGGCAAAAGACAACGGACACAACAGAGAUGUGGUAAAAGUCUGACCACAGCCUACAUGCCAAUCACCAGGGGAAAGACAUUCACAAACA